rnacentral:rRNA from 1 species
CUACGGGGGGCAGCAGUCGGGGAUAUUGCACAAUGGAGGAAACUCUGAUGCAGCGACGCCGCGUGAACGAAGAAGGCCUUCGGGUCGUAAAGUUCUGAUGUGAGAGAAGAAGAUAGUGACGGUAUCUCACCAGCAAGCACCGGCUAACUACGUGCCAGCAGCCGCGGUAAUACGUAGGGUGCAAGCGUUGUCCGGAAUUACUGGGCGUAAAGGGAGCGUAGGUGGUUAUAUAAGUCUUUAGUAAAAGGCAUUGGCUCAACCAAUGUAGGCUAGAGAAACUAUAUAACUUGAGUACAGUAGAGGUAAGUGGAAUUCCUAGUGUAGCGGUGACAUGCGUAGAUAUUAGGAGGAACACCAGUGGCGAAGGCGACUUACUGGGCUGUAACUGACACUGAGGCUCGAAAGCGUGGGGAGCAAACAGGAUUAGAUACCCGCGUAGUC